UCGAACACAAUUCCAAUAAUAUUUAUUUUGAGAGUGGGAGAAAAAAACGAAAAAUAUGCGAGUCCUGGACGUUUCUCGUGUCUGUAAUUCAUAACAAUAACAAGAACAACAUGCCAUCAUAAGAGAAUUGAGCAAAAACAAAUCAAACAAAUGCUCGCAAGAAGACACAAGAAAACUUAUUUUUAAUUUAAGAAGAACAUUUUCACAUAAUUCGCCCGCAACAAAAUCAGACGUUUACCGACAACGAACGCGAGCGGAACAAGAAGAUCGUGACCAAGAAGAAUUACAGAAACAGUAUAGCGUACGGAACAAAUCCGAUAGUGUGUGUGCGUGCGGGUGAAAGUGUGUGCGUUUGCAUCGGUGUUACCACAAAGUAGACAACAGGGAGCUACUAGAUCGAUCACACACUCACACACACAUACCAUAUAUUCAACGUCGGUUGUGUCCCAUACAUAUAUUUCUAUAUUUAUUAUUAACGACGGCGAAUACAUUAAUUCAUUUUCCCCAAAUUCUAUUCGAAUAGUGGAAAAGACAAUUAAUUGUUUCACAAAAAAAUUAAUCGAUAUUCCGCCCUCUUUCGAAGUAACAAACCCUCAAGAGAUAAAACGAAUUUUUGAAUAAUUACUAUGUAAUUUAAGUGAAAAAGAACAGGAAAGAAAAGGAAAACAACAAGAAAAAAAACAAGCACAAAAAGUUUGUGAGAAACAAUUUAAAAAUAGAUCUACUCUAAACCUCAGGUCAUUAUCAUUUGCUACCCAGAAACCAACAGCAGGAAGUUCAAGUUUUCAAUUUACCUCAAAGCAUCCCAAUAAAGUUCAACGAAAAUGUCUGGAGAUGUGCAACCACGUAAACGCAAGGACAAGAAGAAGAAACGUGAAUCUCUUGACUAUCGCAAAUCAGAGGGUGAAUUGAUUUUUUCACGAAAAUCGAGUUUGCAAGAUGAUGAAUCCUCUCACGGAGUACACAUUACAAAAAUGUCAUCGGAUGAUGUACACUUACAUGUACAUCAUGAACAUGGCACUGGUGGACAUUGGUGUGCCAAGAUAAUCUUCUUUUCAUUGAUGACCGUACUUUUGGGUCUGGUAUGUUUGAUUAUAAUGGAAAAUCGUGGCAUAUCAGAUGUUGAUACACCAUUAUCGGAAUCAAGAUUUUCAAAUUAUUUUGAUGGCUGGGUUGAUGAACAUCGUCCCGACGAUGAUCACCAUGAUGAUGCCCAUGGCUCGUUAGAAGAUCACGACGAUGAUCACGAUGAUGAACAUGAUGAUGAACCGUUUGAAGAAGAACCUGAUGUCUCAGAGGGCGAAGAAGCCGAUGAGAUAGCCGAAGAUGAAAAUGUAACUCAGGAAGAAGCCGAAGAGGCUGAUGAAGAUGAUGAUGAAAAUGUAACAGCCGAAGAUGAAAAUGUAACUGGUGAAGAUGUGGAUGCUGAUGAAGAGGAGGGGGAAGAGGAAGAUGAUAAUGAAAAUGUUACAGCCGAAGAAGACAAUGUCACAGCUGAGGAAGAUGAAAAUGUCACAGCUGAAGAGGAAAAUGUUACAGUUGAAGAAGAAAACGUAACAGCUGAAGAAGAGGAAGAAGCAAAUGUCACCGCUGAGGACGAGUAUGAAGCUGACGAUGAAGAUAAUGCUACAAAUGAAGAUAACAUCGAUGAAAAUGUUACUCGCGAAUCAUCAAAACCUGUUUCCAAGGGAAGGGCUGACGAUGACGAAGACACAUUUGAAGAUGAUGAAGAAGACACAAAUAUGGAUUCUAUUGAGAAUAUUGUCGAUAAUGAUGCUGCCGAAUUGGAGCUAUUAAAAGAGAAAGCUCGCCAACAGGCUGAAGCUGAGGCUAAAAAUAAUCCAGCCUCAAUUGAAAAUGACGAAAAUGAAGAAGAAUUGGCAACUUCAUGGGCAUCGUCACUGACAUUAAAAAUUGGCAUUGGCCUGGCCCUAGCGUUAGUUGCGCGUCUAGUCUUGCUUAAGAAAACACCAGUUACAAUUUUUGAAUUAUUUAAUAUUUUAUGCUCGCACCAUUAUACCGCUAAAAGCCAUUGUGUAUACGAUGAGGAUCCAGCCGCUACCGAAAUCCUUAUGAAACGUCGUCUUACCAUUGCUUCACCCGAAGAAGAAAUACCGGAGGAUGCCAACGAUAUGGAUGAAUAUUUACCUGAAAAUGAAUUCUCCGAAGAAGAAAUUGAAAUCGAAGAAGAGAUAGAAUACAUUGAUGACAUCGAAGAAGAACAGCCUGGCGAAGAGGAUGAAGUGGAUUCUGGUGAGAAUGUUUACAAACCGGAAACUUUUGAAGAGCUCAAUGCCAUGUAUAGGCCAAAAGAUUAUCAACAGGAUGAAGAGGAUGAACCACAACAGCAACAAAAACACAACAAUAUGACACAACCAACAACAGAACCUGAAACAUAUUCGUAUCGAUCACCAUACCAGACACCAUUUAACACGACAACAUCUAAUAAUUCUGCUACCACACCUACUUCUACUAAUAACACAAAACCCCAGACAGAUUGGGUGCAAACGUCAAGCAUGGGAUUGGCUUCCAUGCCAAAAUAUCAACAAGAAAAAGCUGUAACUUUUGUGCCCGAAGCAUCAUCGUUGUCAUCUAAACCUGUGAUGGAUAAAUAUUCACCGCCUACAGUUGAGGUGACAAAUUAUUCCCCACCCAAAGUUCAAGAGAGCAAAUAUUCCCCACCUAAAAUUGAGGAAAAGAAGUUUUCACCACCCAAAACUGAUUUCCAAUCUCAUGACAUGGUGGAAGACAUAAAACAAACCGGCAAAACCAAAGAGGUUACCCAUGACAUGGAUUAUCGACCGGAAGAUGAAGAUAUCGAAUAUGACGAAGAUGAUAUUUACGAUGACGAAGAAGGCCAGGAUGAAGACUCCGAAGAAUUGGACGAUGAUGAUCUAUUAGAUGAUGAUGUUGAUGACGAAGAAUUAGACGAUGAAGAACAAGAAAUAUCCGAUAUUGAUGAUACCGAACUAAUGAAUCGUUUAGAGGCGAAAUAUGGCAAAUUGCCAGCUAAAGAAUACGAAAGUGAUGAAGAUCCCGACGAUCCUACAUGGACACAAAUAAAACCCAAGUCUGGCGGCGGUGGUGGUCCACAAUCAUUUGAAGCUGAUGAUGAUGAGUUUUUUGAGCAAGAAUUGCGAAGAGCCAACAGAGAAAUGAUGCGAGAGUUUAAUUACCAUUAGAAAUAUACCCAGCCAUAAUGCCUACCAUUUGUUUAAUUUUUGUUAUUUUUUUUCAUGAAAAAUAUUUAUUUUUUGUGUAGUUUAUAAGAAGAAAACAAUGCGCAAAGCCCUAAAAAUUAAAUCAAAUAUUUUUGUAUUUUAAAUGAACUAAUUAGAUAGACGCAUAAUACACAUAAAUGAAAAAAAAAGAAAACGAAGAAACAUAACCACAAUCUUUGGUCUUAGUGUUGCAUUUUGUUUUUUGUUUGCCACAAUAAAAAUUAACUUGAUAUUUGUUUUUACAUUUUGAUUUUUUUCGAAAUAAAUUCCAUGUAAACACACCCACUUUUAUAUGUGGAAUUUUUUUAAAAUGAAUAUCGAUUUAAUUUUGUAGUUUUUUGUUUCUUAAUAUGAUUAAAAACUCAAAAUAUGUAUAAAACCCUGCUGAAUUUCCGCUUUAAUACUACACACUUAAAUAUCCCAUGACAAUCACUGUGCAAUUUAUUUACUAACAUUAAAAAUAAAAAUAUCCAAAUUCAAUGUACCAGUACACACACAGAAGUAUUAGAAGUUGGAUUUCACCCCCAAAAAGAGCACUACAAAAAAUAGAGGAGCACCUUUCAGACGCCAUUAUAUAUGCCUUGUUUUUGGAUCCUAGUUUUAAAUAGGCGCCGACUGUGUGUAUUAGACAAGUAAAAGACAAUGUCAUUACAAAUUGAUUCUUUUCAAAAGACGGAAAAAAGUUACUACUUUGGUCAUGGCAGAAUUUGAGGAAAUCGGCAUAUAUUGAAUUAUUUCCUUAUUUUUUAUAUUUUUUAUUUUAUUUUAUUCUCAACAAAAAAAAAUGUAUCUCAAAAGGUAUUUGUAAAAUAUGUUAAGAAAAUGAUGAAGAAGAAAAUCUAGAUUCAUGGUCAAUUAAUUUAAGAAAAUACCGACGACUUUUGUACAAGUGUAAACAUCUGAUUAUAUGUUCACUUUUUUAAAUGAAUAAAUCAAGAAAGACAUUUCAUUAA